rnacentral:rRNA from 1 species
AACGAACGCUGGCGGCAUGCUUAACACAUGCAAGUCGAACGUGAAGGGGACUUCGGUCCCUGGAAAGUGGCGCACGGGUGAGUAACACGUGGAUAAUCUACCCGAUGAUCUGGAAUAACACUUCGAAAGGGGUGCUAAUACCGGAUAAGCUCACGACGUCUUCGGACGACGCGGGAAAAGUGGGCUUCGGCUCCUGUCAUCGGAUGAGUCCGCGGCCCAUUAGCUAGUUGGUAGGGUAAUGGCCUACCAAGGCUACGAUGGGUAGCUGGUCUGAGAGGAUGAUCAGUCACACUGGAACUUAGACACGGUCCAAAGUCCUACGGGGGGUAGAAGUGGGGAAUUUUGCGCAAGUGGCGAAAGCCUGACGCAGCAAUGCCGCGGGAGUGAUGAAGGCCUUCGGGUCGUAAAGCUCUGUCAGAGGGGAAGAAACUCCCGUCGGUUAAUACCCGGCGGGCCUGACGGUACCCUCAAAGGAAGCACCGGCUAACUCCGUGCCAGCAGCCGCGGUAA